UACGUAGGGGGCUAGCGUUGUCCGGAAUCAUUGGGCGUAAAGCGCGUGUAGGCGGUCCGGUAAGUCCGCUGUGAAAGUCGGGGGCUCAACCCUCGGAUGCCGGUGGAUACUGUCGGGCUUGAGUACGGAAGAGGCGAGUGGAAUUCCUGGUGUAGCGGUGAAAUGCGCAGAUAUCAGGAGGAACACCAAUUGCGAAGGCAGCUCGCUGGGACGUACCUGACACUGAUGCGCGACAGCAUGGGGAGCAAACAGG
rnacentral:rRNA from 1 species